GUUUAACAGUUUCCCUGUUCAUUUUAAUCUUUUUAAAUGGUCCUUUCUCAGCAUCAGAUGCUUUUGGUCACACAAAUGCACUGAUCAGUACUCUGCUAAAAACUUGAGAGGAACCCUCUGCAAAGAUCCAGCUCUCUCUCCAUUAAUCUCACUCUCUCUGUCUCUCUCUCCAGGUCUCUCAUCUCCAGCAUGCAGUCCUGUGAAUUCUAGUCAGCUUGGUCUGCCCAAAGCUUUUUCUCUGUCACCUCAAGUCACAGAACCACAACAUUUUGCCUAAUUUCCUCUUCUCUGUGCUGUUCCCUGAAAACUUUUGAAGGCAAAAAGCUGUGGUGGUUAUAGGGCUAACCUCAGUUGUUUCCGUUAUAUCAGGGAUCACUGUCUUUAAUGGCAUGAUGUCUCUCUUUUUUUUUUUUUUUGAGACGGUGUUUCACUCUUGUUACCCAGGCUGGAGUGCAAUGGAGUGAUCUCGGCUCAUUGCAACCUCCGCCUCCUGGGUUCAGGCAAUUCUCUUGCCUCAGCCUCCUGAGUAGCUGGGAUUACAGGCACACACCACCAUGCCCAGCUAAUUUUUUAUAUUUUAGUAGAGACGGGGUUUUACCAUGUUGACCAGGAUGGUCUCGAUCUCUUGACCUUGUGAUCCACCCGCCUCAGCCUCCCAAAGUGCUGGGAUUACAGGUUUGAGCCACCGCGCCCGGCCAUGAUGUCUCUUUAAGGAAUGCACCAGAAGUCUUGAUGCUGAAGGGACCUGUAGCUGCCACCUCCAACCCCCUUACACUAUGCCAUUUGGAGUGGAGCUGCAGGGGUGCAUUACAGAGUUUCCUGCCAUUUGAGUCGAUGGUUUACGAGCUGCACAUGUUGUCUGAUAUUUUCACCACAGAGUAUUUGCGGCCAAGGUAUUCCAGUUUCGCUGGUCAGAAUCAGUGAUGAAGACUAAAGGGAGCAACGAUUUGUUGACUGGGAAGAGAAGGUAACACAACUAUACUUACUGAUCUCUUCAUAAGACAGUUUAAUCUUGCUUUACUUUCUGCAAAGUCCUCUAAGCUGUGUCAUCAAUGUUCUCUGUGGCAAAGAAUUUAAACUCUUUAUUCCUUUGGAUGGCGAAAGCAGGACUGUACCGGUUUUGAUCUUAGAUUAUCAACUUCUUAAGGGCAUGGACUUUGUCGGCUAAUUUGCUUGAAAUCAAGCAUUGCUCCAUUGCAGAGAGAACCUGGCAUUCCAUUCUUCUCUAUGGGUGACGUUUUCCUACCUUUAUUCAUCAUAUAUACAUGCCUUUUUAUGUCCAAGCUUCAGAAGAGGGCAGUACCUUCCACACUCUUGGUAACAGCACCAAAAGACGAUUGUUUCUCAUACUAUGAUACAGUAUGAUGCAGAAGAAUGCUUCUUCCGAAGCCUUCAUGUGACUACCAGUGACAAAAGAUGACUACCAGUGUCUCCAAAAAAGAUGUUGUUUCUCCAAAUGAAAUGGCUGCAUCCACAACUGAUUUAUCCACAUAAGAUAUACUUGCAUUUCUGCAGGAUUAUCUCAGAAUUCUCUGCUGAAUGCAUGGCGGUCUCAUCACCUGACGCUCAUUCCCUUAAAGUUGAAAUAAAUUGGAUUUUAUAAUCUGGACUCA
rnacentral:lncRNA from 13 species